rnacentral:rRNA from 1 species
UACAGAGGGGGCAAGCGUUGUUCGGAAUUACUGGGCGUAAAGGGCGCGUAGGCGGCGGGGUAAGUCGGGUGUGAAAUCUCAGAGCUCAACUCUGAAACUGCACUCGAUACUGCUCUGCUUGAGGACUGGAGAGGAGACUGGAAUUCACGGUGUAGCAGUAGAAUGACGUAGAUAUCGUGAGGAAGACCAGUGGCGAAGGCGGGUCUCUGGACAGUUCCUGACGCUGAGGCGCGAAGGCCAGGGGGAGCAAACGGG